rnacentral:rRNA from 1 species
CCUACGGGAGGCAGCAGUGGGGAAUAUUGGACAAUGGGCGAAAGCCUGAUCCAGCAAUGCCGCGUGAGUGAUGAAGGCCUUCGGGUCGUAAAGCUCUUUUACCAGGGAUGAUAACGACAGUACCUGGAGAAUAAGCUCCGGCUAACUCCGUGCCAGCAGCCGCGGUAAUACGGAGGGAGCUAGCGUUGUUCGGAAUUACUGGGCGUAAAGAGUACGUAGGCGGUUAUUCAAGUCAGAGGUGAAAGCCCGGGGCUCAACCCCGGAACUGCCUUUGAAACUAGAUAACUAGAGUCUUGGAGAGGUUAGUGGAAUUCCGAGUGUAGAGGUGAAAUUCGUAGAUAUUCGGAAGAACACCAGUGGCGAAGGCGACUAACUGGACAAGUACUGACGCUGAGGUACGAAAGCGUGGGGAGCAAACAGGAUUAGAUACCCUGGUAGUCCACGCCGUAAACGAUGAUAACUAGUUGUUCGGUCACUUGGUGACUGAGUGACGCAGCUAACGCAUUAAGUUAUCCGCCUGGGGAGUACGGUCGCAAGAUUAAAACUCAAAAGUAUAUAGACGNGAGAGAGCGACGACGACGACGACGGAGGAGGAG